rnacentral:tRNA from 1 species
GAGGGUAUAUCUCAGUGGUAGAGCACAUGCUUAGCAUGCACAGGUCCUGGGUUCAAUACCCAGCACUUCCA